UCACAGUUUGCACUGGCAGUCUUGUUAGAGUUCCCGACACUACUCGCUGGCAACUAACAACAGGGGUUGCGCUCGUUAUAGGACUUAACCUGACACCUCACGGCACGAGCUGACGACAACCAUGCAGCACCUUGUAAUCUGCCCGAAGGAAAAGGUGUUUCCACCCCUGUCAGACUACAUUUAAGCCCUGGUAAGGUUCCUCGCGUAUCAUCGAAUUAAACCACAUGCUCCACCGCUUGUGCGGGCCCCCGUCAAUUCCUUUGAGUUUCAUUCUUGCGAACGUACUCCCCAGGUGGGAUACUUAUCACUUUCGCUUAGCCACUCACCCCGAAAGGCGAACAGCUAGUAUCCAUCGUUUACGGCGUGGACUAC
rnacentral:misc_RNA from 1 species